CUCUCUGCCAGCGCCCGGUGACUGCGGACGGAUGAAUAGACGCUGCGGGUCACUGCGCUCUCCCCUGGGUGAGCAGAGCUUCUCACGCUUCUCACGGGUCUCGACGUGCGCAUCAGCUGCCCUGCUUUUCUUUGCUUUUUUUUUUUCCUUAAUUGCGGAGUCACAUGCAGUUGUAAGAAAUCAUUCACUUUGCCUAGUUUCCCCCAGUGUUACCACUUUGCAAAACUUUGCCAAAAAAAAAAGUCCAAUCUCACAACCAGGAUAUUGACUUUGAUACAGUCACCGAUCUUAUUCAGUUUUGCCGUUUUACUCGUCUUCCUUUGCAUGUAUUAGUUUUACACAAUGUAAUCAUCUGUGUACCUUCCCGUAUCCACCCCCACCUGGCCACUCCUGUGGCGAUUUUACAGCCGCACCCCGGAGCCCUGGCAUCACUAAUCUUUCCUCUAUUUCUAAAAUUGUUUUAUUUCAGAAAUGUUAUGUUUAGAUACAGGAAUCAUACAGCGCCUAAUUUUUUGAAAUUGGCUUUCUUCACUCGUUAGUCUAAUUCCCUGCAGGUUCACGUCUUGCUUUUUUACACGAGUUUCCUCUCAGAAAGUAACUUUUUUUAAAAAAUUACCCAACAGCAAAUCUAAAGUCCAUUUCAAAUGCAAGAGUUCCCUCAUCCUUUCCUAAAUAACAGCCUCUUUUUACAGGUAGAACAGAUGGUUUGAAAAGGAAAGAUUUUUUUUUCACAUAUGGGGAAAAAAAAUUCCCAGCCUUGGAAGGAUAUUUGGGUUAGAGGCCGAAGUGCAUCACAGAUCACGCACGCGUCCACACCUCAGAAAACACUCACUCAUUCCUGAGACGCAACGGUGAGUGAAGGCUUAUUUUUGGCCACAGGAGAUUAAUAAUGAAGACAGGAGGGCGGAGCUAAAGGAGAGGGUAUUUUAACGACAUUAACUGUGUUUUUGUGUUAGUAACUCGGAAAGAGAGAGGCUGCCCCAAGUCAGCGCAUUGAAAGCCGCAGACCUAGUGUCUCCAGGCUCCCCCUUCCAAACGGGCGCGGACCUUCUUUCAUAGCCUGUAGCGGGGAGCCGCGUCUCCCCACUGCCUCCCCACUCCCAUCCGGCCGCUCUUUGGAGGGAACUCACACAUCCCAACAUGACGAUGCUUGCUCGGGGGGCCUCCUGGGGGGACCAGGGAGCCACUUCCUUUCCCACAUACUCCGGAAAUUAAAGUUGGUCUCCUUAAGGCUGGAGUGGCAAAUAGUUGUUUUAAGCUUGUCACAAAUGUAACUUACAUUUGGACUAAUGUUUUAAAAAAUAAUUGGAGUUUUGAAUCUACGAAGAUACCUUGGAAGUAAACAUAGUUAUUAUUUUGGUGGGAAAAAAAUGAAUGGACUUGAAAGUGAGUCACCUGUCCUGUUCCCGGGGCUCAGCUCUAGCAAAGUACCUUUCUCCAUCUACAGUCUCCGGCACACAGCUCCGCAGCUGGGGGUGACUAAGAGCCCACACCACGCAAGUAAUAAAACGCUCCAAUUUCAUUUAUUUAAUCAUCUGUGUGCUUCAUUUGACAAAUAUUUAUGGAGUGUCUGCUGCUAGCUCAGUGCCUGGUGCCUGGGACUGAAGACCAGAGCCCCCUGGAGACCAAAAGAGCCAGCUCCCAGCUGUGAGCAGAUCGGGUCCAAAGAUCACGGGCUCGGCGGCAGGAACCUGGUUUGGUAUCCGGCUCCUCUGCGGACUUUGAAGUGCUUUACCGAUUCACAUGACAACUGGUAAAACGAAAACAAACACCUUUCCAGGAAUUGUGAAUUCGAGUUCCAGACCCUCUGGGAUUCCGGGAGCGCAGCUGCUAUUUAUGUUAACAGUCAUUGGUCCCAGGCUGGUGAGGUUAGAAUUUCCAAGUAUAAAAGUAAUUUAGUUUCGUUUUAAAUACAUUUUAGGGCCAAAGAAAAGUGGAACGAUUUAAAGAAAAAGAUGAAAUGAAUAAUAGGGCAAGUUGGGAGGUGGCUGUCCUGAGGUUUCAUGGGACAACAUUAAUUAACCUCAUGAAGUGCCUGCAUGGACAACGUGCCCGGUGUGGUUACAAACAAACCAAUCAGCACAGAUCCUGGGUGGAAAGCAGGGCGCAGCCACGGAGGCACAGUAGGGGUGCAGACUUGAAGGUUUUUAGGAGGUAAGCCCCGAGGGCACGAAGCUCCACGGAGAGACUGUUGACCCGCCUGGGAGUGCAGUGCAGGUGGAUGAGAGUGGGACACCUGCCAGUUGUUUGCAUCAGCAGACACUCAGAGUCCAUGGAAAAAAUGAGCCUAGAGGUUUUUAAACCACAACACAAGCAAAAGGCACCUGGUCCCGUUCCUCUUAAGACAGAAGAAAGAGGCGUAAAACCAGCUCCAGGUGCCACCCUUAAGAAAUGUUACAGUGCCGGAUGGGAAGAGUAAACCCUGAACAUCUCUUCUUAAUACUUUACAGACUUCAAGUGUAUUUUAUGGUGACAAAGCAUAUUGAAGACAAAUGAAACUCUACAACCCUGAAAA